UUGCCGAACACCGACGACAGCGACGCCUGUCCGAACGAGACGCUGCGGAUCUUGUCGUCAGCUGACUUGAGCGCGCUCGUCACCUUGGUGAUGCCGUCGCGGAUGUUCUGCGGCAACAGUGGGAUUUUCCCGACCGUCGCCGCCGACUGCACGAGCAGGUUGUAGAUGACGGCCAUCGUGGCGUCGUUCAUCACGCCCGUCGACGCU
rnacentral:rRNA from 1 species